CGGUGGUGGUGAUGCAUUUUUCUCAGACUGCUGAAGAAAUAGCUUUCAUGUGACCAUGAAGUCAGCAUAAGGAUGAAAGCCAGAAAGCCAGGACAGAAAGACAGAGCCCAAAGAAUUCAUCUCGAUUCCAGUCUGGAACACUUCUUCAUAAGCUCUUCACUGAAGAAAUAAGUAAGUGUCCAGAAGAAUGGAGUGUGUUGAAGAAAGAAAGGAAGCAAGGUGGGCUCAAGGAAUAUUUCAUACUUGGAAGAAAAAAACUACCAGAAUAAAGAGCCCCAGAAACCC